AUUGUGGCCUCAGUAUAUUGAUGUGAAACCAUGCAGAAAAUGCUACUCUCUCUCAACCUUGUGGAUGUUCCCUACUUCCCUAAGGAUCAGCAGCCUCUUGAAACAGUUGAAGCCAUUAUCGAAUUCCUUGCGUCUAUGUUUUCUGGAUCUGAAAGCAAAGCAUAAUGCCAGAGAUUCCACCCAAAAGCUAACCCAUGAGUCCAAGCUGAAGAGGAAUAUUUCCAAAUCGAUGGCUCCACUAAUCCGAUUGAAUUCCUUGCGUCU